rnacentral:rRNA from 1 species
UACAGAGGUGGCAAGCGUUGUUCGGAAUUACUGGGCGUAAAGGGCGCGUAGGCGGUCCUUCAAGUCCCGCGUGAAAUCCCCCCGGCUCAACUGGGGAACUGCGCGGGAAACUGUAGGGCUUGAGUUCGGGAGAGGGAAGCGGAAUUCCGGGUGUAGCGGUGAAAUGCGUAGAUAUCCGGAGGAACACCGGUGGCGAAGGCGGCUUCCUGGACCGACACUGACGCUGAGGCGCGAAAGCUAGGGGAGCAAACGGG